GCGGCAGCGCGGGAGCAAUCCUGGCGGCGAGCGGCGGACGGGUGAGUAACGCUUGGGAAUCUGCCUGUUAGUGGGGGACAACCCGGGGAAACUCGGGCUAAUACCGCAUACGCACUACGGUGGAAAGCCGGGGACCGCAAGGCCUGGCGCUAACAGAUGAGCCCAAGUCGGAUUAGCUAGUUGGUAGGGUAACGGCCUACCAAGGCGACGAUCCGUAACUGGUCUGAGAGGACGACCAGUCACACCGGAACUGAGACACGGUCCGGACUCCUACGGGAGGCAGCAGUGGGGAAUAUUGGACAAUGGGGGAAACCCUGAUCCAGCGACGCCGCGUGGGUGAAGAAGGCCUGCGGGUUGUAAAGCCCUUUCAGUGGGGAAGAAAAGCCUCGAGUUAACACCUCGGGGUCUUGACGUAACCCAUAGAAGAAGCACCGGCUAACUCUGUGCCAGCAGCCGCGGUAAUACAGAGGGUGCGAGCGUUAAUCGGAAUUACUGGGCGUAAAGCGCGCGUAGGCGGCUUUGCAAGUCGGGUGUGAAAUCCCCAGGCUUAACCUGGGAACUGCAUUCGAGACUGCAUUGCUAGAGUAUGGGAGAGGGAAGUGGAAUUUCAGGUGUAGCGGUGAAAUGCGUAGAUAUCUGAAGGAACAUCAGUGGCGAAAGCGACUUCCUGGACCAAUACUGACGCUCAUGUGCGAAAGCGUGGGGAGCAAACAGGAUUAGAUACCCUGGUAGUCCACGCCAUAAACGAUGAGAACUGGAUGUCGGGAGGGUCUGCCUCUCGGUGUCGUAGCUAACNCGUUAAGUUCUC
rnacentral:rRNA from 1 species